ACAUUGAAGCUGGCUGGGGAAAAUGAUUGGAUAGAAAGCACUGUUCUAUUCAUUUACUCCCCAGCCUACAAACAAAAAU